rnacentral:sRNA from 1 species
GCAGUGGUGUUGGUGGGAAGCGCAGCUCGAAAAGCGAUGCCGAUUCUGGUUUCCUGGGGCUGCGGCCCACUUCGGUGGACCCAGCGCUGAGGCGGCGGCGGCGAGGCCCAAGAAAUAAGAAGCGGGGCUGGCGGCGGCUUGCUCAGGAGCCGCUGGGGCUGGAGGUUGACCAGUUCCUGGAAGACGUGCGGCUACAGGAGCGCACGAGCGGAGGGAGUCUCGCUUUAUCGCCCAGGCUGGAGUAGGCGCGAUCUCAGCUCACCGCAACCUCCGCCUCCCAGGCUCAAGCGAUUCUCCUGCCUCAGCCUCUUGAGUAGCUGGGAUUACAGGCGGGCGCCACCAUGCCUGGCUAUUUUUCUUUUCUUUUCUUUUCUUUUUUCUUUUUUUUUUUUUUUUUUUUUGAGACGGAGUCUUUCUCUGUAGUCCAGGCUGGAGUGCAAUGGCACGAUCUCGGCUCACUGCAACCUCUGCCUCCUGGGUUCAAGUGAUUCUCCUGCUUCAGCCUCCCAAGUAGCUGGGAUUACAGGCAUGCACCACCACGUCCGGCUAAUUUUUGUAUUUUUAGUAGAGACAGGGUUUUGCCAUGUUACAGGCCAGGCUGGUCUUGAACUCCUGACCUUAGGUGAUCCACCCGCCCCGGCCCCCUAAAGUGCUAAGAUUACAGGUGUGAGCCACCACACCUGGCCUAAUUUUUGUAUUUUUAGUA